GAAAAAUAGUACCAACAUCAGGUAAAAGAGUCGAACUCCGACAAAUAUCGAAUAUUCGAUAAUAAUCGAACCACACCGAACUUGCUCAGACACACUGAAUUCGCUCAGCCAAAUUGAACAUUUUCGCCCAUUUAAAGUGAAUUCGCUGAGCCACAAAAUUUGAAUGAACUUACAGGUCGAAUGAAAUAUUUGAUGGAUUGGCAAAAGAGGUAAUGGAACGGCGUCUAGCUGCCUUCGUUUGAGGUCUAUUGUUUAUAAUAGACGUGGAAUGUGGCCGCUUGUCAUAUCUUUCAGACGAACCUCGUCGAGAAGAUGGUGAUUUUUGGGCCAACCGAUCACGGCGUAUGCGGCAUUCCGUCUUAAGUUGUUGCAGACGCUGGCCCUGUUUCCGGCGUUCUACAACAAGCAAGCGAUUGGUCAUGCAAUGACGUUGGCAGAUUUUCCGUGCCAAAUCCAAAUCGUUCUCGUCCUUGACGAAUUGACUUUCCUGUAAAAAAUUUGCAUAUGUAAUGACAUUAAUCUUGUAUUGUUUACAAUAAACUCACAAGCUUGUUUUUGUAUUUGUUUAAA